GACCAGUGAGCGGGCAAGGCGGCGAGCUCCUGUUGAGGCGGCGGGGCUCGGUGCGUGCUGGUUCCUCGGGAUCGAGUCUUGGCUCUCCCGAAGCGGGCGGUUGCGAGCUUGGAUCUGGAUGAUCCCGAUGGAGAGCUGGGUGGCGGCGCUAGGUUCCAACCGCCUCCAGAGUCCUACAUCCCCGAGCUCGACAAGAUUGCUAGCCACCUUUUGAGGUCCUCAGCACUCGGCGGGCUUCUCAUCCUGUUCAGGUUUUCUUCCAUGUUAUGGGGUUGUGCUCCGGCGGCGACGUACGACCAAGGAAGACGGGGGUAUGAUGCAGUGAGUCCAAUCUGUUCCGGAGGACAAGUG
rnacentral:lncRNA from 1 species